GGGAGCUUGCUCCCUUAGGUCAGCGGCGGACGGGUGAGUAACACGUGGGUAACCUGCCUGUAAGACUGGGAUAACUCCGGGAAACCGGGGCUAAUACCGGAUGCUUGAUUGAGCCGCAUGGUUCAAUUAUAAAAGGUGGCUUUCAGCUACCACUUACAGAUGGACCCGCGGCGCAUUAGCUAGUUGGUGAGGUAACGGCUCACCAAGGCGACGAUGCGUAGCCGACCUGAGAGGGUGAUCGGCCACACUGGGACUGAGACACGGCCCAGACUCCUACGGGAGGCAGCAGUAGGGAAUCUUCCGCAAUGGACGAAAGUCUGACGGAGCAACGCCGCGUGAGUGAUGAAGGUUUUCGGAUCGUAAAACUCUGUUGUUAGGGAAGAACAAGUACCGUUCGAAUAGGGCGGCACCUUGACGGUACCUAACCAGAAAGCCACGGCUAACUACGUGCCAGCAGCCGCGGUAAUACGUAGGUGGCAAGCGUUGUCCGGAAUUAUUGGGCGUAAAGCGCGCGCAGGCGGUUUCUUAAGUCUGAUGUGAAAGCCCCCGGCUCAACCGGGGAGGGUCAUUGGAAACUGGGGAACUUGAGUGCAGAAGAGGAGAGUGGAAUUCCACGUGUAGCGGUGAAAUGCGUAGAGAUGUGGAGGAACACCAGUGGCGAAGGCGACUCUCUGGUCUGUAACUGACGCUGAGGCGCGAAAGCGUGGGGAGCGAACAGGAUUAGAUA
rnacentral:rRNA from 1 species